AUUGAACGCUGGCGGCAGGCCUAACACAUGCAAGUCGAACGAGCGGCGGACGGGUGAGUAAUGUAUGGGGAACUGCCUGAUGGAGGGGGAUAACUACUGGAAACGGUGGCUACUACCGCAUACCAUCGGUUGAGCCCAGAUGGGAUUAGCUAGUAGGUGGGGUAAAGGCUCACCUAGGCGACGAUCCCUAGCUGGUCUGAGAGGAUGACCAGCCACACUGGGACUGAGACACGGCCCAGACUCCUACGGGAGGCAGCAGUGGGGAAUAUUGCACAAUGGGCGCAAGCCUGAUGCAGCCAUGCCGCGUGUAUGAAGAAGGCCUUCGGGUUGUAAAGUACUUUCAGCGGGGAGGCGUUACCCGCAGAAGAAGCACCGGCUAACUCCGUGCCAGCAGCCGCGGUAAUUC
rnacentral:rRNA from 1 species